UACGUAGGAUGCAAGCGUUGUUCGGAAUUACUGGGCGUAAAGCGCGUGUAGGCUGCGGAGUAAGUCGGAUGUGAAAUCCCUUGGCUUAACUGGGGAACUGCGUGUGAGACUGGCGGGCUUGAGUGCAGGAGAGGAACGCGGAAUUCCAGGUGUAGCGGUGAAAUGCGUAGAUAUCUGGAGGAACACCGGUGGCGAAGGCGGCGUUCUGGACUGUAUCUGACACUGAGGAACGAAAGCCAGGGGAGCAAACGGGG
rnacentral:rRNA from 1 species